GGAUUAGAUACCCUGGUAGUCCACGCCGUAAACGAUGGAUGCUAGCUGUUAGGAGUAUCGACCCUUCUAGUAGCGAAGCUAACGCGUUAAGCAUCCCGCCUGGGGAGUACGGUCGCAAGAUUAAAACUCAAAGGAAUUGACGGGGACCCGCACAAGUGGUGGAGCGUGUUCUUUAAUUCGAUGAUAAGCGAAGAACCUUACCAGGGCUUGACAUCCUUGGAAUUUCUCCGAAAGGAGAGAGUACUUUAUUGGACCAAGUGACAGGUGUUGCAUGGCCGUCGUCAGCUCGUGUUG
rnacentral:rRNA from 1 species